ensembl:lncRNA
GUACAGCUUUUAAGGAUAACUGUGUGAACAUGAUGGGCAGCUGUGUGGUGCUGCCGGCAGCCUUGAGGUGCAGGGGCCCUGCCUCCCACUCCAGGGCAGCCUGCUGAAGCCCAUGGUUCCCAGCUGCCUGUUGGCUGGCCUAGAAGCUGUGGCCCCACUCUGCGAUUCUGGGUCUUGGCUGGAAGUUUCAGAAGCACACGCAGCAGUGACUUCCUCCUUGCGGUGGCGACUGGAUCAGCAACUGCCAGGACAGUAAUGAGAUCCCCCAAGAACGGUUGCUGGCAGCCCACUACCGCUGUUGCUGGGGGCUGAGGGUUGAGUGGGUCUGAGUGCUUGCCUGUGAGCAAUUCAGAGCCCCAAGAGAUUCCCAAAGAAACUGCUGCUCUGAGGUUAUUCAUCUGAUGGGAAGACGCUGGUGAGAAAAGACAACAUUUCUGAGACUCCAGAGACAUCCCUGGCCCUUUCUACUGUGCAAGGACAUAGUGAGAAGGUACCAGCUAUGAACCAAGAAGUGGGCCCUCACAAGAACCUGACCAUGCUGGCACUCUGAUCUUGGGUUUCCAGUUUCCAGAACUGUGAGAAAUAAAUUCCUGUUGUUAUAAGCAACAUUCCUUUGACAGACGAGAAAAUGGACCUACUGACUUUGUGACUUUCCUGAAGCCACAUAGAAGACGAGAUCUUAGUUCUCUUGGGCACAGAUCCAGGGCUCUUUCCAGCCUGCCCUACUCUGUCAGGAGUCAGAAAGGAGUGCAGGCUGACCUGCUCUCCUCAGAAACUUGCCUGCAGAGUCACAAAGUCUCCUCUCACAGAUUCAUCCCCUGUGAACACACAUUGCAGAAGGUGAUUCAGAAGUUUCAAGUCGAACAUCACAAAGUGGUUGUAAUUGAUGGAUAUCCAUAACCCACGAUGGUGGGUGGCUGUCCUUUUGUUUAUUCUUUCUAGUCUUUUAAGGCAAUGGCACCCCACUCCAGUACUCUUGCCUGGAAAAUCCCAUGGACGGAGGAGUCUGGUAGGCUGCAGUCCACGAGGUCGCUAGGAGUUGGACAUGACUGAAGUGACGUAGCAGCAGCAGCAGUCUUUUUAAUAUGUUAUUUUAUGUGUGCUUGUUUAGAUAUACAACUAAUAUAGGUUCAUUGAAGAACUAUUUGAAGAAACAGGUAAAACAAAAAGUUAAAAAUGAAAAUUCCCAUAAUCUCACUGUGACUAACAUUUUAGGGAUGUAUUACUCAUCUGUUGCUGCAUAAUAGAUUACCCCAAAACUUAGUGGUUUAAAACAAAAGAUGUUCAUCAUUUUGCCGUUUUUAUGGGUCAGGAAUUUGGGAGCAGCUUAGUUGAGCGGUUCUGGCUCAGGAGCUCUCAUAAGGUUGGAACCAUAUGAAUGAGAUUAACCUAGGGCUGGAGGAUCUGAUUCCAAGGUGACUCACUCACCAGUCUGUUGGCUGGAGGCCUUAGUUCCCCCGCACAUGGAUUCUCUGUAGGACUGCUUGAGUAUCUUCGCAGCAUGGCAACUGGCUUCUGCCCGAACAAGUGAUGCAAGGGGAAGAGCAAAGAGGAGGCUGCAGUAUCAUUUAUGACCUAGUCUUGAAAGUCACACCCUGUCCCUUCCACCACACUCUUAUUUGUUAGAAGAAAAUCACUAAGUCAAGUCCAUACUCAAGGGGAGAGGAUUUAACUUCCAACUCUUGAAAGAAAAAGAAUUUUUUUGGAAAAAGAACAAAGGACAUAUAUUAAAAAUAUCACAGAGAAUCUCUAGUCAUCA